rnacentral:rRNA from 1 species
GUUUGCCGACGGGGCGCAGCAGUGAGGAAUAUUGGUCAAUGGCCGAGAGGCUGAUCCAGCUAUUCCGCGUGUGGGAUGAAGGCCCUCGGGUUGUAAACCACUUUUGUAGAGAACGAAAAGACACCUUUUAAUAAAGGGUGUUGCUGACGGUACUCUAAGAAUAAGCACCGGCUAACUACGUGCCAGCAGCCGCGGUAAUACGUAGGGUGCGAGCGUUAAUCGGAAUUACUGGGCGUAAAGGGUGCGCAGGCGGUUGAGUAAGACAGAUGUGAAAUCCCCGAGCUUAACUCGGGAAUGGCAUAUGU